GGGGGUAAUAUGUAGACGAGCCUUACCCCUACCCGAAAGGGCAGAGAGGCUGUUUCCAAUCGACCCUCGGCUCAGUGAAGGAAAGGAAAAACAAAAAACAAAAACAAAAGAGCAUUACUAACUCCAGCAGAAAUAGCGAAAAUAAUUAACUAAACAUAAGAAUCAUAAAUAAAAUAGCCUGCAAUAAUAUUAGACAGUAACUACCAUAAAUAACUACCAUAAGGGAGAUACAAUCCAAUACAGAAAUCAUCUAUGGAUAGCCCUGCAAAGCCUCACCCACUCCCGGGUGAGGAGUACGAAAAACUCUAGGAGCCCCUAUCCUACAACCCUCAUACUAGACCUCCAGACUUUCCUAUCAAGGGUCAUGUCCUCGGAAACCCGCAUUCUAG
rnacentral:lncRNA from 1 species